rnacentral:lncRNA from 1 species
CGAGCGGAGCGUGGGCAAAGCAGGCAGCCUCCCUCCGCGGUGACUUUGAGAUMCGCUAGGGCGUUUAAGGAGACGCCGGGCCGCGCUCUGCCCUCCGCGAAACGCGGGCAGCACCGACCGCCCUGGCGAGCGCGAAAGCUCCGCUGCAAACUCGGGCAGAAAUCCGGCCCCCCCCCCGCGCCCCCUCGUGGUCCCUGCGCUGGAAAUCCACAUCUGGUCCCUGCUUCAAACGCUCUCAUGGCCUACUUGUCUACCACCAUCACAUCUGGCCCCAGUGCAAUUGGGAGGCCUGGUCAAAUCCUGACCCCAAAUCGGUGACCCCUUCCUGCUCUGUGUGUAGGAACAAAGUGGUGCCCUGACACUACUCGGCAUGUUUUAAGUAACAUUUAGCAAAUACAGGAUUUCUUAGCUUGAUCUGAAAUCUACUGCAAUCAGCAGAAAUCUGUAUCCCUGCCACUGGAAAGAUUCACGUAGACUCUCAGAAGCUGUAAAAUCAGCUCUUACACAGCAUGCUGGUAAUUUUUAACCUCUGGGCUACUAGUUUGUGUUAGUACAGGCUGGAACAUGCAGGAUUAGCUUAAGGGKUUUUUUUGUUUGUUUGUUUAACUUACAGUUUGCAUUAAAUGAGCUAAGCUGAAUUGGGUAAAUAUCAUAACCAUAACUGGCAUCUUUUGGGACAACCUUAGUGGGAAAGCUAAGUAUUGGAUGAGCAGAAAGAUUUUCUCAGAGCCUUAUGAUUUGCUGGAAAGCGUGCCUCUGAAUUCACUGUCUGGGUGGAAGUAUUGAUCCAGCUGCCCGAGGAGAGCACCUGGCCAUCCCAGUGUGUUGAGAGCAGGGCUGUGGGAUUUCAGGCAGACUCUUUUGCUCCUUACAUUGAAUGAGUUCUGCUCUUACCUCUCAAGAUGGUGCCAGUAUAAGAUUGCACCCUACUAAAUAGUGAUACAUGAUAUCAUUCGAUUCUUUUAUAGCACUGAAAAGUGAAUCAUGAUGUCACCACUCACAAAAUGCUACGGGUGAAAGAGAAAGCAUUUAACUGUUUCCUUCUCUCCUAGAUGAACUGAUCCCACCUGGGGGACCAGGACCUAUUCCUGG